rnacentral:piRNA from 1 species
UCUUGGAACAGUAGGACUCAU